rfam:Schistosoma margrebowiei strain Zambia genome assembly, scaffold: SMRZ_scaffold0000066
AUUCAGAUGAUGAGUCCAAAAUAGGACGAAAUGCGCGUCCUGGAU